rnacentral:lncRNA from 1 species
ACGAUAGUAACUAUGUGCUUGAUUUUCUGUACUCUGAUGCUUUGACAUCAGGGGCCUUGCUGAUCAUAGAAGGACCGCCCCUCCCAGGGUUACCAGUUCCUGGAGAUAGUCAGGGACUGGCCCAAGCGCAUGCCUCUCCUGUACAAACCAGCCAACCCACCACCCAGGCCACCAUCCACCUGCCCUGAUCACCCGGGGCAGGGUAUUGGACAACUCAGGACAGCCCCUGUGCCCCAGAGCCUGCUGAAAUGGUGCAACCAGCCACUCUUUACCCUACCUUAUCCCACAGAAAACACAAGGAAGCCGCUUGCUCGUGGUCUACCUCCUGGGCACCCUUGGUGCGUCCCCAUGUGGCCCCUGUGGCAUGCCCCCUCCUCUGGGGAAGCUAAUGUGACCCUGGCCAUGGCCUUGUUCACCAUCCUGACCUCCAUCUAUUUCUUCAACAAGGUGAGCGGGAGAAGAGCGGAGGUGGGGGCUGAGUCUCUGUCUCCCUGGUCCAGUUUUGUCAUCUUGGUCUCUCUCUCUCUCCCACGUCUCUGUAUAUGUCCCUGUUUUCCUCUCUCAGGCUCAGCAGUGAGAAGACACAGGACCUCCCCGCACAAGAGCCCUGCCUCUCCCUCUACCAUCGCUCUGAGGCCAAAUAAAUGUAACUGAAUCCGCACAUCCUGCUCUGCC